UGGCUUCCCGCAAGCUGCCUGUUUUAACACUCUUUGUGAUUUAUUUCAAUCUCAUCUUUUACAAAGGUACGGCAAUUUGUUCCAUUUUCCUGCUUCCUUCUCCUCUUCCUCCUUCUUCUAAGAUGGCAGAGAGAAACUUUCUUACAGGUCCCAGCAACACUGCCGUAUAGCUUAGAAGACUGGAGAUAUUUAUUCUCAAUGUACUCAGUUUACUUUCCAACUGGAGCAUUAUUUGAAAGACGGUCUGCCAGCAUUCAACUGAACAGACACAAAUGCAGGUAUGAAUAGUGAGGGGAGAGAGUGGUUUGAAGGCUGGGGUUGCUGUCAGGUCUGAUGAACCCUCCAGCACUCGCCAUCAUCGGCUACAAUGUUGAGGAGACUCCAUCACAACCUCAGAUCAAGAGUGUUUCUUUGUUCCUCCAAGCCUUCCAAAGCACUUUAUGGACCUUGUAUUUGGACAACACCUCCAUGAAGCUUGGAAGCCAAUAAGUCACAUCUUCAUUGAACAAUUCAUGAAAUUACAGGGCAGAGGUGAAAUAUGACCUUCGAGGGAAAAGCUGGCGGUGGAGCCCAGAACUUCAUUUUGCUGGGAUGGUUCCCUGCCGUUAUUCUCCUUUCUCACGAAAGGAUCCUGCAGUCAAUUUACGGCAUUUGUAAAUAAAGGCGGCUGUGUCAGCCUCCUGCCUGGAGAAAGGAAGGCAGCACCUUGAAUGCUGAGAGUGUAUCUCAGGCUUACUCUAUACUUCCAUUACAAUAUCUCAGAAGUUAUAACAGAUGAAGAUGGGGCGAGGUGGUCAAGGUAAGACCGGGGUCAGCAGGGCAAUGGCGUGUGAGGAGUUUCUCAUUAGAAAACACAAAUGGGGAUUUGGAUUGGUUGUUUUUCUUGUCUCAGAAAUCUUCUUCAGAAUGACCUCCCCACCCCUGCUUUGUCUUUGAAAGUUUUGCCAUGUUUGAAUUGGCAUACUUACACAUUGUAAUGAUUUUUCUUUCAUCAAUUAAAAACAAAGCUAUUUUUUGGCCAAGUGUCUCCUGAAGCAAAGUUAAGAAACAGAAUAAGAAGGUUUUGAGUCACGCACAAGACUGAAAAUUAGCUAAUAAAAACCCUUUUCCCCCCUAUUUCCUCAAAACUCAGUUCUCAGAAAAACAAUUCUGGAUGCACCCUGUUUACCAGCAAGGUUAAAAGUUCAAGAAAAGAAAGACAUCACAAUAUUUACACUCAGGCAAAUCACUGUUCAUCUACCACGUCUGACCCUGCAGAUUUGGGAGCGGGCCGCUGUCCUGCCUGUCAAAGGGAGAGGAAGCAGUGCCUGUCUGGCUGGCCCUAUAUUUGCUCCUGUUGUCUCACUCUCUGCCACCAGUUUUGUUUUUUGUUGUUUGUUUGUUUUUGUUUAUUUGUUUUUUCUAAGACUGCCGGCAUCCCUUCUUUCUAGAUCGUCUUGUCUUUCUUUUGAUAUUUUAUUUUCAUGGAUAAGAUCGCUAGGACCCCAUCAGAGUAUUUUUCUGAUGGCACGAUGCUACUACUUUCUGAUAUAUUUAUUUCAUUCUCAAUAUUUGAAUCUAUGAAAUAAAAUAAUAGUGAUAAUAGCCAC
rnacentral:lncRNA from 1 species